rnacentral:rRNA from 1 species
UACGAAGGGUGCAAGCGUUACUCGGAAUUACUGGGCGUAAAGCGUGCGUAGGUGGUUUGUUAAGUCUGAUGUGAAAGCCCUGGGCUCAACCUGGGAAUUGCAUUGGAUACUGGCAAGCUAGAGUGCGGUAGAGGAUGGCGGAAUUCCGGGUGUAGCGGUGGAAUGCGUAGAGAUCCGGAAGAACACCGGUGGCGAAGGCGGUCUGCUGGGCAGUUGCUGACACUGAGGCGCGACAGCGUGGGGAGCAACAGGG